rnacentral:lncRNA from 1 species
CAGUGCAAUUGAUCAAUAGUUCUCAAAAUCAAGAUUUCAGCGAUUCUACCUUAUUUGCAGAGAUUAAUUCCCCAAUGCUUCUCAUUGAUGAUUCCAGUACACCGAAAAAGAAACAAUCGUUCUCUCAAGUGGUACACACACUUUUGAAUAUUAUGCAAUAUAAUUUCUUACCUUUUUCCAUGUUAAAGUCCAUGAUUCAGUCAUGUGUGAUAGGACAGUAUACAACCUUAUCAUGUGUCAUGUCUAUUGCCGGCCAUAGGUGCCGAACUAGUACGAGAUAAAGUAAACAACUGAGAGAUUUCCAUGUCCAUGGUUAAAACUAUAAGGUCCCUGUUGUUUUCUAUCGCUGGUCACAACCUGUAAUACUCGCUAGAUAGGCAUUACAUGUGGUGAAUACCGAAUAGUAAUUGAAUUUAGGUUGGUUGAAAGUAUAUGUUUUGGUUGUGAUAGAAAAUGAGAUCUCAUAAGUGCAUAACAUGUAUUUUUUACUAAAUAAUUUUUACUGCUAACCAUUCUGGCCCAGCACAGAGAAAAGAUUGGUUAUGGAGAGAGAGUUGCAGUGGCCGUGGUUGGGUGGGUGUGAUCGUUGGUAUGACGAAACAAAGAUCACCUGCAGUGCACCAUAGUAAGUAGCAAAUCGUACCCAUGGCUGGCGCAACGGCGUGGAGCAGGCUGCAGGGUCGGGGUGGUGCUGUGACGUGUGCAUCACAACAGAAGAAGCUUGAUGAGCAAAAAGUACUAGAACUGGAGGCAAAGGCUGGAGGCAAGCUAGCAAAGUUGAUGCAGUUUUUUAAUGGCAACGCUUCUUGAGCUGUGAUUAGUUUAGUCAUUCAUACUUAGUCUUACCCAUGAUGUACGCAAAAUUAUCCUCUCAAGCAAUGUAAUAUGUAUGUCUGUCUAUUUUGUUGUGUCCUGUCUGGAGUCGUGCAGUUCAGAAUGUAUGUUUGCUUGAAGUGGAGUAUUAAGGACCAUAUACUCAAAUAUUUGUGGUGAGGUUCACUUACUCGUUAGUGACUAACAUGUUUGGACUUCUUCUAAAAAAACCUGUUUGGAUUUCUUGUAUGAUUUGUGAUGUAGCACAAGCUGCUAGCGAAAUCAAAUAUACUGCAGAUUUCAUGCAAUAGAUUUUAUA